rnacentral:tRNA from 1 species
UGCAUCGGCUGGGAAUCGAACCCAGGCCGCCCGCGUGGCAGGCGAGCAUUCUACCACUGAACCACCGAUUC